rnacentral:rRNA from 1 species
CGUUAGCGGCGCGCCUAACACAUGCAAGUCGCACGAGAAAGGGAGCAAUCCCCGGUACAGUGGCGCACGGGUGAGUAACACGUAGAUGACCUUCCCUGGAGUGGUGGAUAACCUGCCGAAAGGCGGGCUAAUACAGCAUGGGACCACAUGGUUUUGACCGAGUGGUGAAAGCGGGCCUCUGUUCACAAGCUCGCGCUCUGGGAUGGGUCUGCGUCCCAUCAGCUAGUUGGUGAGGUAAUGGCUCACCAAGGCAUCGACGGGUAGCUGGUCUGAGAGGAUGACCAGCCACACUGGAACUGAGACACGGUCCAGACUCCUACGGGAGGCAGCAGUGGGGAAUCUUGCGCAAUGGGCGAAAGCCUGACGCAGCGACGCCGCGUGGGUGAUGAAGGCCUUCGGGUUGUAAAGCCCUGUGGGGAGGAACGAACCGUACUGGGGCGAACACCCUCCGUACCUGACGGUACCUCCUUAGCAAGCAUCGGCUAACUCUGUG